rnacentral:rRNA from 1 species
GACGAACGCUGGCGGCGUGCCUAAUACAUGCAAGUAGAACGCAGGUGCGAACGGGGGAGUAACGCGUAGGUAACUGCCUCAAAGCGGGGGACAACUGGGGGAAACGAUAGGUAAUACGGCAUAUUGUGAGUGGGACUUGCGUUGUAUUAGGUAGUUGGUGGGGUAAAGGCUCACCCAGGCGACUAUACAUAGCAGAACUGGGAGGGUGUUAGGCCCACAUGGGACUGGGUCACGGCCCCAGCUCCUACGGGAGGGAGCCGGAGGGGAUCUGCGGAAAUGGGCGGAAGUCUUACCUCGGCACGCCGCGGUAGUGGAGAAAGGUUUCGGAUCGUAAAGCUCUGUUGUUAGGGAAGCGGUAACUAACCAAAAAGGGACGGCUAACUACGUGCCAGCAGCCGCGGUAAUAC